rnacentral:rRNA from 1 species
UACGAAGGGGGCUAGCGUUGCUCGGAAUUACUGGGCGUAAGGGCGCGUAGGCGGACAGUUUAGUCAGAGGUGAAAGCCCAGGGCUCAACCUUGGAAUUGCCUUUGAUACUGGCUGUCUUGAGUUCGGGAGAGGUGAGUGGAAUGCCGAGUGUAGAGGUGAAAUUCGUAGAUAUUCGGCGGAACACCAGUGGCGAAGGCGGCUCACUGGCCCGAUACUGACGCUGAGGCGCGAAAGCGUGGGGAGCAAACAGG